UACGUAGGUGGCAAGCGUUGUCCGGAGUUACUGGGCGUAAAGCGCGCGCAGGUGGUUCCCUAAGCCCGGCGUGAAAGCCCCCGGCUCAACUGGGGAGGGUCAUUCGAUACUGAUCGACUCGAAGGCAGGAGAGGGUAGUGGAAUUCCCGGUGUAGUGGUGAAAUGCGUAGAUAUCGGGAGGAACACCAGUGGCGAAGGCGACUACCUGGCCUGUUCUUGACGCUGAGGCGCGAAAGCUAGGGGAGCAAACGGG
rnacentral:rRNA from 1 species